rnacentral:rRNA from 1 species
UACGGAGGGAGCUAGCGUUGUUCGGAAUUACUGGGCGUAAAGCGCACGUAGGCGGCUUUGUAAGUAAGAGGUGAAAGCCUGGUGCUCAACACCAGAACUGCCUUUUAGACUGCAUCGCUUGAAUCCAGGAGAGGUGAGUGGAAUUCCGAGUGUAGAGGUGAAAUUCGUAGAUAUUCGGAAGAACACCAGUGGCGAAGGCGGCUCACUGGACUGGUAUUGACGCUGAGACACGAAGGCCAGGGGAGCAAACGGG